rnacentral:rRNA from 1 species
GGAUCCAGACUUUGAUUAUGGCUCAGGAUGAACGCUGGCGGCGUGCCUAACACAUGCAAGUCGAACGAAGCUUGACGGAUGAUUUCUUCGGAAUGAAACCUGAUAUGACUUAGUGGCGGACGGGUGAGCAACACGUGAGCAACCUGCCUUUCAGAGGGGGAUAACGGCUGGAAACGGUCGCUAAUACCGCAUGAUGUGUUCGGAUGGCAUCAUCUGAACAUCAAAGAUUUAUCGCUGAAAGAUGGGCUCGCGUCUGAUUAGAUAGUUGGUGGGGUAACGGCCUACCAAGUCAACGAUCAGUAGCCGGACUGAGAGGUUGAACGGCCACAUUGGGACUGAGAUACGGCCCAGACUCCUACGGGAGGCAGCAGUGGGGAAUAUUGCACAAUGGGGGAAACCCUGAUGCAGCAACGCCGCGUGAAGGAUGACGGUUUUCGGAUUGUAAACUUCUUUUCUUAGUGACGAAGACAGUGACGGUAGCUAAGGAAUAAGCAUCGGCUAACUACGUGCCAGCAGCCGCGGUAAUACGUAGGAUGCAAGCGUUAUCCGGAUUUACUGGGUGUAAAGGGAGCGCAGGCGGGACUGCAAGUUGGAUGUGAAAUACCGUGGCUUAACCACGGAACUGCAUCCAAAACUGUAGUUCUUGAGUGAAGUAGAGGCAAGCGGAAUUCCGAGUGUAGCGGUGAAAUGCGUAGAUAUUCGGAGGAACACCAGUGGCGAAGGCGGCUUGCUGGGCUUUAACUGACGCUGAGGCUCGAAAGUGUGGGGAGCAAACAGGAUUAGAUACCCUGGUAGUCCACACUGUAAACGAUGAUAGCUAGGUGUGGGGGGUCUGACCCCUUCCGUGCCGGAGUUAACGCAAUAAGCUAUCCACCUGGGGAGUACGACCGCAAGGUUGCAACUCAAAUGAAUUGACGG